GACGGAGGGGGCUAGCGUUGUUCGGAAUUACUGGGCGUAAAGAGCGCGUAGGCGGAUUAGUAAGUUGGGCGUGAAAGCCCGGGGCUUAACCUCGGAACUGCUUUCAAAACUGCUAGUCUAGAGUGAAGUAGGGGGUGAUGGAAUUCCUAGUGUAGAGGUGAAAUUCUUAGAUAUUAGGAGGAACACCGGUGGCGAAGGCGGUCACCUGGGCUUCAACUGACGCUGAGGCGCGAAAGCGUGGGGAGCGAACAGG
rnacentral:rRNA from 1 species